GGAGGUCUUUCCGCCCCUCCAACCAAUAGCUGCUGUGAUACCAGCCCAUUGGGGCGUGGUCUCACUCCCUUUAAAAAAGCGGCUAUUUCCUCUGCUCGCUCUCUUCUCUUACUGCUCCGCUGGAGACGAGACUCCCUUCCUGGUUGCGCAGAUGGCUGUUGUCUGGGAUUGUGAUCUGAUCUUACCUCAAGCUGGCGCACCCCUUUAAUCCCAGCACUCGGGAGGCAGAGUGAAUUUGAGGCCAGCCUGGUCUACACAGUGCGUUCCAGCAAACUGUCAAGAACUCUACCAGGAAGGACAAGCAAGGCCCAAGGUGAGCUUCAAGAAGCACUGUGUCAGCCGGGCGAUGGUGGCGCACGCCUUUAAUCCCAGCACUCCGGGAGGCAGAGGCAGGCAGAUCUCUGUGAGUUCGAGGCCAGCCUGGUCUACAAGAGCUAGUUCCAGGACAGGCUCCAAAGCCACAGAGAAACCCUGUCUCGAAAAACCAAAAAAAAGUAAAAAAAAAAAAAGAAGCACUGUGUCCAUAAAGCGCUUGUUCUUGUAUGAAGGGCUGAGCUCAAGCCCCAGCGCUGUGUAUAAGGUGGGGUGUGCUCCUGAGAACUAGUCUGACCUUGGCUUCACACACACACACGCACGCACGCACGCACGCACGCGCACAGAAUUCUGGUGCAAAAGGCUACACCUUAUAUGAUUUCAUUAAUAGCAGUGCAGAAUAGAACUCUAGCAAUAGUUACUGGCUGCUUACAGCAGCGUGUGAGAGGGUGCUAGCUGAGGAGGACAGCUCUCUUUUUAAAGUUAUACAAUUCCUCUAAAAUUAACUACAGGGGCUGGAAAGAAGGCUCAGCCAUUAAAAGCAUGUGCUGCUCUUGCAGAGGACACGAGUUUAGUGCCUAGCACCCAAUGCAGGGUGGCUCACGACCACGAGGGCACCUGACUUCUCUUGAUUCUACAGGCACCCAAACACAGGUGCAGAUACCCACACAGAGACAUGCAUAGCUAAACUCAAUACCAAAAACAAAAUCUCUCUUUUUCUUUUCUUUUUCUAGACAGAGUGGUCUGGAAUCUGCUGUAUCUGGAAUCAAGCUGACCUCAAACUUAGAGAUUCACCUGCCUCUUCCACUCAAGGGGUGGGACAAAGGCACCCGCGCCACCAUUCCUAAGUGCUAGGAUAAAAGCUGCCUUGUUGGUUUGGUUUUCUCUUUGUAGCCUUGGCUGUCCUGGAACUCUCCAUAAAAGACCAGGCUGGCCCCUGCCUCCCUGGGAUUAAAGGCGCGUGCCAGCACCUCUAAGAGAAAGCACCUGCUUAACACGUGCAGCCCCAGCACCCCAAACCCAGGGAACGCUGUGAUGUUUAUCUGGAGGUACAAUGCUGCAAAGCAACACACACAGACGGUUCUCCAAACAAUAUGGAUACUAAGGUUUAAGAUUAAGAAUUACAAGCCAGUAAAAUCAUCCCCUUAAAUUCUACCUAGGAAAAAUAGAAUUCUAUGUUCGGAAGACAUUUCAAGUCUGACCUUUGCAGUCAUUGGAGUUCUUACUUCUCAGAGAAAUUUAUCUGUAACUGACAAGAUCUAAAGAUCAGAUAUCUAAAAUCAAUACGGAGGGAGGAGGGAAGAUAAGAAUGAAUUAUGAAAAUAUAUUUAAUGAAACAUUAACAUUGCCCCCACCAACCAGGCAUUAAUUCUAAACCUAAACCUACCAAACAAAGGCACUGAAGAGCAGCUGCUCUGCUGCAGGAACGGCCUGUCUAGGGCAGCGCAUUCACUCACUCAACAGGCAUGACCCUCACUCGCUCUACGCCAGACACGCACAGAAUAUCAGUCACCGCGACAGUUCUAAGCGAUUUCAUAUAUUCACUGUAAAAAUUCAGAGCAUAGGCUGUUAAGGUUACUAUCAAUUCUUACGAGCUGUGCAUUCUCCCCAAUGGAGCUCAGCUGUUUUUACCACACUGUCCAUUGCUGAUGCAGUUUGUUGGCCCUCGGGUAAACAGAAUGGAUAUGAUGGUGCCUCAUCUUGCUGUCAUCGCCAUAAAUCACCAAGCAGUGUUAAAGCAACCAACAGCCCGUGUUUCCAGACAGACAGUUAAGCAGCACUGGGCUUCCGGAAAGCCGGCCAGACCAGGAAGUGGCUUCCGUGCACGUAUGCCUGUAGUGUGCCUAUGCCUGUAGUGCAAGUAUGCCUGUGCACCACACGACUGCCACCAGAAAGGGGCAAGGAAUCCCCUGAAGGACAGCCAGUGCGCUCAGCUGCUCCAGAUCUUGGAAGUAUUGUCUUUUAGUCACUCCGGAGACUCAAGCUCCCCCAGAACCAAACCCCAAGCUCUAAAAGCUUUAGGGUUCGGCACAGCGCCCCCUUCUCUUCAGUCCCCUAUUUCAGUCCCUUCCUGCUCCCUAAGCCCACUCAAUCCCCAUGCCCCUAUAAGCCUCUCGGACUCUAACAUCUUUCUUUGCCUGGAAUGGUUUUCAGAUUUCUACAUGGCUUGGCUUGUACUUUCCUCACCCCUGGGAAACUUUUCUGAAACUUUUUUGGCUGUUUAAGCCAGGUUUAUGUAUCAUGAGCUGGCCCUUAACUCACCUGUAGCCCAGGCUAGCUUUAAGUCUUGAUUCUACCACCUCUGCCUCCCAAGUGAUAGGAUUAUAGCACAGCACCCAGCUCUAACCGGUACCCCUCCCAACCCUGCAAACAAGCUAGCCCACUAGCCUCAUUCAUGCCUCGUCCUCCACAGCACUUCGCCACCCAACACGCUCCAUCCCUCUCUAUUUGCUCACUUCCCCCUUGUGCAACAGAAGUCCCACAAGAGGAUUCUAGCAUGUUUCGGUCACUGAUCACAUUCCCAAGACUAACAGACAGCAUCUCCCAUACACAUUUGCUAACUGCACUAACCAGGGCUAGUUUCAACAAAAUGUAGACUCCUAACUGAAGCCUACGAACCAGCAUACGAUGGCAGAGCCUCCACUCCUGCAGGAAGGGGGAAACACCUGGAAAAUUCUCUAACCUAAGUGAAACCAGGCUUUACUGUUUAAUACUACUGUACAUAACCCUACCUCUAAACAGUUUACACAUUUAAAUUCUUCCUGUUUUAAUUGCUAAAAUUCAAGGAAGCAAUGUGUCCUGGAGACUGAAGACAGGGCCACAGAAUGCUAAACAAGGGCUUGAUCUUGCCUCCUCCAGCCUGUAACUGCUCCAAAUUGUGUUUUGUUUAACAUAGGGUCUCGUGAAGCUCAAGCUGGCCCAGAACCUACUCUGUAGCUAAGGAUGAGCUUGAACUCCUGCCCCUCUGCUUCUACCUCCCAUGCUGGGAUUACUCCACUGUGCCAGGUCACGGGGUUCAAUUUUUCAAGAAAGGAAAUAGGUUUAUUAAGUACAGUGUGAGCAAUAGCAGGUUUGGCAGUACUGCUGUACAGCCUGUCCAGCUCACAUUAAAAAAAAAAGGAUUUAUUUUUAAAUUACAUAUAUUGUAUGUGUGAAUGGAAGCAGAGGUGGCACAUCUGUGUACGUGAGAAUGCAGGUGUGAGAAGACCAGAAGACAGCAUCACAUCCCUUGAAGCUGGAGUCUCAGGUAGUGAGCCAAUGGACUUGGGUACUGACAGCCACACUUAGGUCCCCUGAAAGAGUGGUGUGCUACCUAAUGGAUUAGUCACCUCCCCAGUCUCCGGUUGAAAGAUUUAAAGGCAAAGUAAACCUGAUUUUCCUCCUGAAGCUGAUAGGUUCGGCAUUUUCUUUUACUUUUUAGGACUGAGGCAGGUGGAGACAGAAAAUUAUCUCCAUUUUUUUUUUAAAUGUGUUUAUUGGGGAGCUCAAGAGAAGGCUCAGUUGUUAAGGGAACUUGUUCUGGCUAAGGACCAGUAUGGUGGCUCACAACCAUCCUUAACUCCAGUUCCAGGGGAACCAGGGCCGCCUUCUGACUUCUGUGGGCACUAGACAUGUGAUAUACAUACAUCCACAUAGGCAAAACACUCAUAAUACACAUAAAAUAAAUUUUAAAAACCCAGUUUUAAAUGUUAGAAACCUAUCAAUCUGUUCACCUCUGACUUAUGAACUCUUCAGUGGCUCAAAUCCUUUCUAACUGAAGCUGGACAUCCUCACCAUGCCCCUUUGCCACCUCACAUUGCAAAUGCCUCAAAAUCACUACCAACCCACUCGGGAGCUCCCGGUCUCCAGGGAAAGCACGCCCAUUCGCAUGUCACUUCAAAUACGCCUUCCUCACCCCAGGAUGCCACCCAUCAAUAAGAGGACAUUUUUCUACCCCAACUUUCUGCAUCCCAUCUCUAAUUAGUUUCUUAUAAAAUGUAGUUAUUUUAUCAUAGGCCUUCAUGAUUCACCUCCACAGCCAAACUUACUCACUCAAUA